UAACGCAUUAAGUGCCCCGCCUGGGGAGUACGGCCGCAAGGCUAAAACUCAAAGGAAUUGACGGGGGCCCGCACAAGCGGCGGAGCAUGCGGAUUAAUUCGAUGCAACGCGAAGAACCUUACCAAGGCUUGACAUGAACCAGACCGGGCUGGAAACAGUCCUUCCCCUUUGGGGUUGGUUUACAGGUGGUGCAUGGUUGUCGUCAGCUCGUGUCGUGAGAUGUUGGGUUAAGUCCCGCAACGAGCGCAACCCUCGUUCUAUGUUGCCAGCACGUGAUGGUGGGGACUCAUAGGAGACUGCCGGGGUCAACUCGGAGGAAGGUGGGGACGACGUCAAAUCAUCAUGCCCCUUAUGUCUUGGGCUUCACGCAUGCUACAAUGGCCGGUACAAAGGGUUGCGAUACUGUGAGGUGGAGCUAAUCCCAAAAAGCCGGUCUCAGUUCGGAUUGGGGUCUGCAACUCGACCCCAUGAAGUCGGAGUCGCUAGUAAUCGCAGAUCAGCAACGCUGCGGUGAAUACGUUCCCGGGCCUUGUACACACCGCCCGUCAAGUCACGAAAGUUGGUAACGCCCGAAGCCGGUGGCCUAACCCCUUUGUGGGAGGGAGCUGUCGAAGGUGGGACUGGCGAUUGGGACUAAGUCGUAACAAGGUAGCCGUACCGGAAGGUGC
rnacentral:rRNA from 1 species